rnacentral:lncRNA from 1 species
CAAAAAAGAAAAGGAAAGAACAGAUGAGCAGAUAUUUAAGGAAAAUAGCUAGUUAUGAAGCAUAAUUAUUCAGGACAGCUGUGAGACACACAUGCGCGCGCACACACACACACACACGCACCUCUUCUUUCAGAUACCAAAUAGAGACAUGAUUAAGUUUCUUUUCAGUGUGACAAAGCAAAGUCGGGGUUUCACCGUGUUAGCCAGGAUGGUCUCGAUCUCCUGACCUCAUGAUCCGCCUGCCUCGGCCACCCAAAGUGCUGGGAUUACAGACAUGAGCCACCACACCCAGCCACUGUGCCCUCUUAAUUCCACCUCAAUUUUAAGUGAAAGAUGGGCAUAAAAAUCAGAAGGAAAUAGCAUUGCCAGUGCCAUGUUAUGCCCUACCUUGGUCUGGAGCCAGGUGCACGAUAACCAGAAGAUCAGCUCUUACUGGCCAAUGGGAGUGUUUAUGUUUCUUAAUCACAGUGGACAUGUCUGAGAGACUGCCGGCUCUAGUAGAUUGCUCACUGAUACCUGGUUCCUCUUCAUGUGGAAAGAUCACAAUAACCUGUCCUGUUGAGCUCAGAUGUCACCAUGUGAGUUGCUUUGGCCAUUGAAAUGUGAGUGGAAGCUCUGGGGGUUCCUCUGGCAGAAGUUUUAAGAGCCAGAGCAUGCUUUUUCAUGGUCUGCUUUUCCUCUGCCAUGGUUACCAAUAACAUUCCAGACAGAAGUUGCUCUGGCAGUCUGGGUGCCAAAGUGAAAAUAAUGAUGGAGAGAGCAGAGCAACUUUGCUGACCUCCAAUGCACAUGUGGUGUGAGUGAGAUGUAAGCUUUUGCUUUUUUAAGGUUGUUUGUCACUGUAGCACAACCCUACAUCAUACAUUCUCAAUGGGAGAGGUAUCACCCCAUGGAAGGCAAAAAUUGGCCUUUUUUUUUUUUUUUUGAGACGGAGUUUUGUUCUUGUUGCCCAGGCUGGAGUGCAAUGGCGUGGUCUUGGCUCACUGCAACCUCCACCUCCUCGGUUCAAGCAAUUCUCCUGCCUCAGCCUCCCAAGAAGCUGGGAUUACAAGUGCCCUCCACCAUGUCAGCUGAUUUUUUUUUUUUUUUUUUUUUGUAUUUUUAGUAGAGAUGGGGUUUCAUCAUGUUGGCCAGGCUGGUCUCGAACUCCUGACCUCAAAUGAUCCUC